GCGGGUAUAGUUCAGCUGGUAGAACACCUCCUUGCCAAGGAGGAUGUCGCGCGUUCGAGUCGCGUUACCCGCU
rnacentral:tRNA from 1 species